GUCAUUGCGAUAGUAAUCCUGCUCAGUACUAGUGGAACCACAGGUUCGGACACUUGGUUCAUGUGGUUGGUCGAGAGACUAGUGGUGUGAAGCUACCAUCCGUGGGAUUACGACCGAACGCCUCUAAGUCAGAAUCCCGUCUAAGCAGUGAAAUGAUAUUGUGCGUACUUGCAGCGUUUACAGGUGACGUUAGAGUUUCUCGGGUCGAUCGCGGCGGGCCGCCGCAAUUCCCGGCUCGACGACGCCACGUGGACGAGGGGGCAUUGGUCGUUCGCCGAGGUAACGGUGCGAGCGACGUUCCCAUGCACUCGUUUUUGGUGGGAAUCGCUGCGGUUUCAAAUCGUCUGUAGACGACGUAAGUACCUGUUUGUGGUGCCGUAAUUAGUAUAUCAGCCACCACACUGCGAUCUAUUGAGGCUCAGCCUUUGACCAGGAGGUUU
rnacentral:rRNA from 1 species